rnacentral:sRNA from 1 species
GCCGGAACCGCGCGGGUCGUCGCAGCUGCGGGUGAACGCGGCGUUUGCCGCGCGGUACAACCGCUACCGGGAGCGCGAGGAACUGCAGCGGCUGAAGGAUCGCUACGGGGACCGGGACAGCGGCAGCGACACCAGCUCCGAGUCGGCCUCCAGCGACGAGCGCGUGGUGCGCGUCCCCGCCCCGUCCUGGACGUGCGGAGGCGUCCAAGCCCUCACCACUGCACCCCGACCCCGAUGUAGACUGGGGGGGAACCCCCAACCCCAGAGCGCCCUGUGGGAGCGUACCAUCCCCUGCUCCCCACCCCAUGAAGGACAGACAGCGCCCCCGUUUCCCCAGGGGAGCCAAAUCCCCGUUAUUUUCUCUCCCCUGCCACGAUCCACCUGCCCACUCUGAUGUGUGGGGCGACUCUGUCCCCCAAGAACCCCCCCUUUCCUCUGUCAUCCUCAAGAGUCUAGCCAUUUUUUAGUGUACUCCUUGCGCCACGUGGGGCGCCCAACUUCUCACAUCAGCCCUGAUCCUGGCCCCACUGUGCGGCCUGGCCCAGCCCCUCCCCGCUGUCUCGCUUGUGCCCUCAGCCCACCUGCCCUUGUCAAGUCUUUGUCUUCCCUAGGAAUUGCCUUCUCCUUGCCCCUCACUUUCCUCUACCCAUAUCCUGUACCUACCUGUGGCCUGCCCCUGCCCACCCCAAGAGGGCCCCUCUCCCUCCUGCUGUUUGACCACCUGCCUCUCUCCCCAGCCAGAUCCACCCCCUUCCAUCCUAAUCCCUACGCUGAGCUCACCUGCUGGCGCCAGGGCUCUUAUUAUCUCCCUUCUGAAAUCUAUCCCCAACCCUUUUCCUGCCCUAGGAAUUUGACCCCCAGCAGGAGCGGGACUUUUACAAAACGCUCUCCUUGUUGAAGAAGAAGGACCCCCGCAUUUAUCAGAAAGAUGCCACCUUCUAUAACAGAACAGCAUCGUCAUCAGACAGUCAGGAGGAGCCAGCAGCCUUGGAGAAGCAGAAGAAAGUGCGGCCCAUGUACCUGAAGGACUACGAGAGGAAGGUUAUGUUGGAGAAGGCAGGCAAAUACGUCGACGAGGAGAACUCAGACGGGGAGACUUCCAAUCACAGACUCCAGGUGGGUGGGGUGAGGGCUGGGUCGGGGGGCUGAGGGGCCUGGGGCUGGCCUGAGACCUACCGCCCUCUCUGCAGGAGACCUCGUCGCAAAGUUAUGUGGAAGAACAGAAACAGCUCAAGGAAAGCUUUCGGGCAUUUGUGGAGGACAGUGAGGACGAGGACAGUGCUGGGGAGGGCGGCUCCAGUUUGCUGCAGAAACGUGCCAAAACCAGGCAGGAGAAGGCCCAGGAGGAGGCUGACUACAUCGAGUGGCUGAAGGGACAGAAAGAGAUUCGGAACCCAGAUUCCCUGAAGGAACUGACCCAUCUCAAGGAAUACUGGAACGACCCUGAGUUGGAUGAAGGGGAGCGGUUCCUGCGGGAUUACAUCCUCAACAAACGCUACGAGGAGGAGGAAGAGGAGGAGGAAGAUGAGGAGGAAAAGGAGGAAGAGGAGCGGGUCCCCGGCCCCCCAGUCCAGCUGGCUGUGGAUGACUCCUCAGACGAGGGGGAGCUGUUUCUGAAGAAACAGGAGGACUUUGAACAGAAGUACAAUUUCCGUUUCGAGGAGCCGGACUCAGCAUCGGUCAAGACCUACCCACGCAGCAUCGCGUCCUCCGUGCGCCGUAAGGAUGAGCGCAGAAAGGAGAAGAGGGAAGAGACUCGGGAGCGAAAGAAGAGGGAGAAAGCGAAGAAGCAGGAAGAGCUCAAGCAGCUGAAGAACCUGAAGAGGAAGGAGAUUCUGGCCAAGCUGGAGAAGCUGCGGAAAGUAACAGGCAACGAGACGCUGGGCCUCGAGGAGGGGGACCUUGAAGACGACUUUGACCCUGCCCAGCACGACCAGCUCAUGCAGAAGUGCUUUGGGGACGAGUACUACGGGGCCGUGGAGGAGGACAAGCCACAAUUUGAGGAAGAAGAAGGGCUUGAAGACGACUGGAACUGGGACACGUGGGACGGGCCUGAGCAGGAGGGAGACUGGAGCCAGCAGGAGCUGCACUGUGAGGACCCCAACUUCAAUGUAGGUGUCACGGGUUGAGGGAUUCCCAGAGGCCCUGACGUAGGGCUGGUGGGAUCUGACCUGUGCGUCCUGGCAGAUGGACGCCGACUACGACCCCAGCCAGCCGAGGAAGAAAAAGCACGAGGCCCCCUCGAUGGGCAAGAAGAAGCGCAAGUCGCCCUUCGCCGCGGCCGUGGGGCAGGAGAAACCCGUGUUUGAACCCGGUGAGGCCCAGGUGGGCAGACCGUGGGUGGGCAGGGGGCUCCGCGGGGCCUGGCAUAGCCCAGCAGCCUGGCUCUGUCUCGAGCAGGGGACAAGACAUUUGAGGAGUACCUGGAUGAGUAUUACCGGCUGGACUACGAGGACAUCAUCGACGACCUGCCCUGUCGCUUCAAGUACCGCACAGUGGUGCCCUGCGACUUUGGCCUCAGCACUGAGGAGAUCCUCGCUGCUGACGAUAAGGAGCUGAACCGGUGGUGCUCCCUGAAGAAGACCUGCAUGUACAGGUCAGAGCAGGAGGAGCUGCGGGACAAGCGGGCGUACAGCCAGAAGGCCCAGAACUCAUGGAAAAAGCGGCAGGUCUUCAAGUCACUCUGCCGAGAAGAGGCAGAGACACCCGCGGAAGCCACAGGGAAGCCACAGAGAGACGAAGCCGGCCCACAGAGGCAGCUGCCAGCCCUUGAUGGGGCUGGCAGGAAGCGGCCCCGGCCGGAGAGUCCCCCAGCACAAGAGGAAGCCCCUGUAUCACCCCACAAGAAGCCAGCCCCCCAGAGGCAGAGGAGGGCCAAGAAGGCACGGCUGCUGGGCCCCACUGUGAUGCUUGGUGGACGCGAGUUCAGCCGCCAGAGACUGCAGGCCUUUGGCCUCAACCCCAAACGGCUGCACUUCCGCCAGCUGGGCCGGCAGCGGAGGAAACAACAGGGGCCCAAGAACAGCUCCUGAGCAGCAGGGAGCAGGCAGGGGCCUCAGGCUCCUCCCCUCAAAUCAAGCCCUGGACAGGUCUCGCACCCACAAGUACUAUCUGCUGCAGAGAACCUCUCAUCUGUGGCUAGGCACGCCUGUAAUCCCAGCACUUCGGGAGGCCGAGGUGAAAGGAUCACUUGAGCCCAGGAAUUGGAGACCAGUGUGGGCAACUUAGUGAGACUCCAUCUCUACAAAAUGUGGUGACACAUUCCUGUAGUCCCCGCUACUCAGGAGGCUGGGGAAGGAAGGUCACUUAAGGCCAUGAGUUUGAGGCUACAGUGAGCUAUGAUUGCACCACUGCACUCCAGCCCGGGCAACAAAGCAAGACCCUGUCUCUUGGGGGGGAAAAAAAAAAAAAAAAAAAAAAAUUAAAAAACACGUGUAGCUGCGGGUAAGGAAAUUGUCCCAUUUUAUGGAUGUGGAAACUGAGGCUGACUUAAACUUCCCGUGACUUGGAACUCUCACCUCGAAGACACCUCCCAGACCCCACAUCCCCUCAGAACGCUGCGCCCAGCCACACCCAUGAUCAAGUCACACAGCUUUAUUGGCCCCCAGCAGCCACAGUUCCCCCCAAGGGGGCUUUGGGACAGGGAGGGCCCGGGCGUCCAGUGCAAACUACAGUACGUGAGUCAGGCCCUGAGGGGGGUGCCCGGGGUCCUCCCUCCCUACCCUGCCACGAGGGCCCCGCUGGUGGGAGACAGGUGCAUGGGCUCUGUCCCUGGCUGAAUGGCCCCAGACUGGUUGCAGCUGGGCUUGAGGGGCUGAGAACAGGAAGUACCAUCACUGCCAGAGCUCAAGAUCCCACACCCGACAUGACAUAAAUAAAAAAAUAAAUAGUGUUGCAUCUUU